GAUUUUACUAUGCAAUCAAACCAGUAUUGCGAUCUGUUGGGAUUCUCCAGAUUUUGAUAUACCCGUUAAAUUCAAUAUCUACUACGGGAUAACUCCUUCAACGAAUUACAAAAAAUCAGUGACAGCGCCUGGUAAAAUGUUCAAAGCUCAUGGACUAAAGGCUGGCACUGAAUACAAGUUCCAGUUAUCUGCCAGUUCUGCAGAUGGAGAAAGCCAACUUGGCGAUCCACUAUUCAUACGCACUCUGAAAGACCAGAAAACAGAGUGAAGAGAUGUGUUUUGAAAACACUAGACGUUGAUAGUUAAUUUUUAUUUUUAGUUGUUUAAGCAAGACACACCAAUUAUGUUUAAAGACAUAUUAAAUAGUAUUGUAUACUGUA